GGCGAACGGGUGAGUAAUAUAUCGGAACGUGCCCAGUCGUGGGGGAUAACGCAGCGAAAGCUGUGCUAAUACCGCAUACGAUCUCUGGAUGAAAGCGGGGGACCUUCGGGCCUCGCGCGAUUGGAGCGGCCGAUAUCAGAUUAGCUAGUUGGUGGGGUAAAAGCUUACCAAGGCUACGAUCUGUAGCUGGUCUGAGAGGACGACCAGCCACACUGGAACUGAGACACGGUCCAGACUCCUACGGGAGGCAGCAGUGGGGAAUUUUGGACAAUGGGCGCAAGCCUGAUCCAGCAAUGCCGCGUGCAGGAUGAAGGCCUUCGGGUUGUAAACUGCUUUUGUACGGAACGAAACGGUUCUUUCUAAUACAGAGAGCUAAUGACGGUACCGUAAGAAUAAGCACCGGCUAACUACGUGCCAGCAGCCGCGGUAAUACGUAGGGUGCAAGCGUUAAUCGGAAUUACUGGGCGUAAAGCGUGCGCAGGCGGUUUUGUAAGACAGGUGUGAAAACCCCGGGCUUAACCUGGGAACUGCAUUUGUGACUGCAAGGCUAGAGUACGGUAGAGGGGGAUGGAAUUCCGCGUGUAGCAGUGAAAUGCGUAGAUAUGCGGAGGAACACCGAUGGCGAAGGCAAUCCCCUGGACCUGUACUGACGCUCAUGCACGAAAGCGUGGGGAGCAAACAGGAUU
rnacentral:rRNA from 1 species